rnacentral:rRNA from 1 species
AGAGUUUGAUCAUGGCUCAGAGUGAACGCUGGCGGCGUGCCUAACACAUGCAAGUCGAACGAGAACGGGUUACAGUUUACUGUAACUGUCAGCUAAGUGGCGCACGGGUGAGUAAUAUAUAGUUAAUCUGCCCCAAAGAAGAGAAUAAUUGUUGGAAACGACUUGUAAUGCUCUAUAUGCCUUUAUCACAUAAGUGAGCAAGGGAAACAUUUAUGGCUUUGGGAUGAGACUGUACGGUAUCAGCUAGUUGGUGAGGUAAUGGCUCACCAAGGCUAUGACAUCUAACUGGUUUGAGAGGAUGAUCAGUCACACUGGAACUGAGACACGGUCCAGACUCCUACGGGAGGCAGCAGUGGGGAAUAUUGCACAAUGGAGGAAACUCUGAUGCAGCAACGCCGCGUGGAGGAUGACACAUUUCGGUGCGUAAACUCCUUUUAUUAGGGAAGAUAAUGACGGUACCUAAUGAAUAAGCACCGGCUAACUCCGUGCCAGCAGCCGCGGUAAUACGGGGGGUGCAAGCGUUACUCGGAAUCACUGGGCGUAAAGAGAAUGUAGGCUGGUUAUUAAGUUGGAAGUGAAAUCCUAUGGCUCAA